rnacentral:lncRNA from 1 species
AGGAAUAAAACCUUGACUACCCAAUGGUUCCCAAGUGCUUACUCCUAAUCGUCUAAACUAGAAUGAUCCCUAUGUCUACCCUUUAACAUCAAUCCCAUUUUUUUUUUUUUUACCUUAGGAGAAGUUUCUUAUCAAUACUAGUGGAUAGGGGGUUUCUUCUUUACUAUGGUUCUGUUUUCUUCUUACGUUAUAAGACAUCAAAGCUUUUUCUCUUUCUUUACAUCCCAGAACCAUUCUCUGUAUAUCAUGCUAUCCCCAUAAAAAUCAAUCACUAGAGUAUAAACUUCUAGAAAAACAUUCUCCUCCUAAGGACACAACUUUUUCUGUUUCUCUUCUUUCUUUCCACAAUCAUUCCAAUCUCAAACCCAAGUAAGAAUCCAGACCUAGUCCUAUCUGAUUUGAAAGUGAAAAUCAGAACUACUCAAGAUUUUAAUCCUGUCGGCUCAUACCUAACAAGUUCUCCCCAAGCAUAAUCCGGUAAAAGACCUACCACUCAAAAAUUAUCAAUUGGCUUGAAAGAAAAGGAUAGGCUGUGGGUAUGGCAAACUGAUCAAAAGAAAGAUCAGCUACUUGGAUCAACAAGAGUGGUGAAAGGAGGAAGAUGAUCCAAAUAUGUAUAUGGUGACCAUGAGCAUGCAAGCAAAACACAACCAGAUAUUUGCAGGUCAAGAUUAAGUUCUUAUAAGGUAAGGAAUGAGAUCAUAUCACAACAUGUUUCAACCAAGUUCAAGAAUGCUCUCCAUUAAUUCCAAGUUUGUUUCAGACUUACUUCAAGUUCAAUCAUCAUGCAUCAAAGAGCUAAAAACCAGGGCAUUGAUCUCAACUGGUGAAUCAUAGCAAGUUAACAAGGUGUAAAUCAUCAUCGCCCCCUAUGCUAAUGCAACGGUCCUACAUGAAACAAUCUAGACUCAAUCCUAGUUUGCAAAUGCAAGCUACAUGAUCACUCUGUUUUAAAAGUUUUUUUCUGAAAAUUUUCAAAUUUUUAGGGGUUUUCAAUGCACAUAUAUGAAUACAAAUUAUAUUCUAUAAUUUCAAAAUAAGAAAAGUGAACACAACAUCAAAUGUCAUCCCAAACCCUCCCCCAAACUUAAAUUACACAGUCUCUUGUGUAAUAAAAAUUUGAGAGUUGGUUUGAGAAUCAAACAAACAAAAGUAUGAAAAUGCAAUGGUAUAUACGGAUGAAGGUUUGGAGUGGUACCUUACUGAAAAUAUCAGUCCAGGUAUUGAGUCAUGGAUUCGCUUGUAUAAGCACCUGGUGCAGGCUGCGCAGGAGGAGCUUCUGUAGGAUGCUCAACGUUGAGUGAGCAAACGGCGAGAUUGAGAGAUCCUGUCGAGUGAGCUGAAAUCUGACGAGUCGAGCUAGAGCUUCAUCGUCGAGUGGCGAGGAGCUCGCUUGGCCGGUGGAACGGGAGCAGACGGUGGUGAGACUGUCGAGUAGAGAUCGACAGAGUACGAGUGCGGUCGACUGAGAGACAGCUCGAGUGCGCUGGUCGAGUAACGGUGAGUCGAGUGGUUUUUGAGAAGACCGUAUGAGUUGAGUGAGAGGGAGAACCGAAUGAUUUGGAGAGUGGUGAUGGAGUGAGAGGAAGAUAAGAUAUGUGUGGUGUGGGUCGAGUAAGUUUUUUUUUUUUUUUUUUUUCAAAAUUAUCUCUACCUCCAUCUCACUAGACUAUGUUUGAUACUGCAUCUUCUGCUCACUUCGUUUAUUUCACUUUCUGAUGAUAAUGUCUCUGUUCUCUCAUCUCUUUGAACUCUUAAACAACACAAAAUCAAAAACAAAAAUUAAAAACACAAAAACUUUAAGCAAUAUGUACAGAGAUACCUUUGGGACUUCCUCCCAAGUGAGCUUGUUUAAAGUCACUAAGCUUGACUGUUUAUGCCUUUUAGGCUUUGGGGGGCUCAUAUAGAGGCAUGGAGGACCCCUCUGGUGUCUCUUGAUCAGCUAGGUAACGCUUGACACGUUGACCGUUCACAGUGAACUCGCUGCCACCCUUGCUUAGGAGAGUGAUCGCACCAAAUGGCAAAACAUCCUUGAUUUCAAACGGUCCAGACCAUCUAGACUUGAGCUUUCCAGGAAACAGUUUAAGUCUGGAAUUGAACAGCAAAACAUGAUCACCAGCCUUAAGCUCCUUAACAACAAUCCUGUUGUCAUGGAAAGCUUUGGUUCUCUCCUAGUAGAUUUUGGAACUUUCAAAAGCAUCAAGUCUGAUUUCCUCAAGUUCAUGGAUGUCAAGAACUCUCUUUGCCUGAGCUGCAUCAAUAUCCACGUUCACAAGCUUGAUAGCCCAAAGCGCCUUAUACACAAUCUCCACAGGGAGAUGACAUGCUUUACCAUACACCAACUGAAAAGGCGUCCUUCCUAUUGGUGUCUUGAAAGCUGUCCUAUACGUCCAUAGAGUAUCAUCCAACUUGGUAGACCAAUCUUUCUUCGAAGCCCCAACAACUCUUGACAAGAUUCCUUUUAUUUGCUUGUUAGAGACCUCAACUUGUUCACAGGUCUGGGGAUGGUAGGCUGUAGACACCUUAUGCUUUACACCAUAUUUCUUCAACAUGCUUUCAAAAACCUUGUUGAUGAAAUGUGUACCACCAUCACUGAUCACUGCUCUCGGUACUCCAUAUCUAGGAAAAAUGAUGAGUUUGAACAGUUUCAGAACAACCUUAUGAUCAUUGGUGGGACUUGCAAUGGCUUUAACCCAUUUUGACACAUAAUCAACUACAACCAGAAUGUAGACAUUGCCGUUUGAUGGAGGGUUGAACGGUCCCAUGAAAUCAAUUCCCAAACAUCAAAAAUUUUUACUUCCAAAAUCGGGUUCUGAGGCAUCUCAUUCCUUCUGUUGAUGUUACCCAUCCUCUGGCAAGCGUCACACUUGGUGAUGAAACUGUUUGUAUCCUUGAACAACGUUGGCCACCAAAGGCCUGCUUGUAGAACCUUCGGAACUGUCUUGAAUGUAGCGAAGUGUCCUCCAUAUACUGAUCCAUGACAGUGCUCAAGCACUCCCUGCACUUCUCCUUCCGCUAUGCAUCUCCUAAACAGCCCAUUUGAACCUCUCUUGUACAAGUAGGGUUCAUCCCAGAAGUAGUGGUUGACAUCUCUGAAAAACUUCUUUUUCCUAUAAGGAUCCAUGUUUGCAGGAAUCUCUCCACAGACCUUGUAGUUCACCACAUCCGCAUACCAGGGCAUACUCUCUGAAUUGACUACUAAACAUUGAAGCUCCUUCAUAGCCAUUCCUGUUUAAUGCAUCUUCUUGCAUAUCUCAACGACCAUAAGAUGUUCUUCAGGCAUAGAGUCAUCGAUAGGGACUGGAUCUUCUUUUCUCAUUCUGAACAGGUGAUCAGCAACGCCGUUAUCUAUCCCCUUCUUGUUAACAAUCUCCAUAUCAAACUCCUGGAGUAGAAGUAUCCAUCUCAGCAGUCUCGGUUUGGUAUCCUUCUUGGAGUAUAUAUGCCUGAGCGCAGCAUGGUCUGUGUAGACUACCACUUUUGAUCCCACCAAGUAACUUCUGAAUUUCUCAAAUGCAAAGACUACAGCCAAGAGCUCUUUCUCUGUUGUUGCAUAUCUCCCUUGUGUCUCAUCAAGAGUUCUGCUCUCAUAGUAGAUGACAUGCAACUUCUUCUCUAUUCGCUGCCCCAACACAGCCCCUACUACAUAAUCUGAGGCAUCACACAUUAUCUCAAAAGGAUGAUCCCAGUCUGGAGCUUGGACUAUUGGUGCUGAGACUAACGCUUCCUUGAUCUUGUUGAAAGCUGUCAGACAGCUUUCAUCAACUACAAACUCGACCUCCUUGCACAGCAGUCUUGUAAGCGGUCUUGCAAUUUUCGAGAAGUCCUUGAUGAAUCUUCUGUAAAACCAAGCAUGCCCAAGAAACUCCUUAUAUCCUUGAUUGACUUGGGAGGCUGCAACUGUACCAUGAUCUCAAUCUUUGCCUUAUCAACCUCAAUCCUCUUCUCUGAUACCUUGUGUCCCAACACUAUCCCUUCAUUCACCAUGAAGUGGCACUUCUCCCAGUUGAGCACUAGGCUUGUCUCCUCACAUCUUGCUAAUACCCUGCAGAGAUUCAACAAACAUGAGGAGAAGGAGGAGCCAUACGCAGAAAAAUCAUCCAUGAAUAUCUCCACCAUCUCCUCUAUCAAAUCCGAGAAUAUAGAGGUCAUACACCUCUGAAAUAUUGCAGGUGCAUUACAUAAACCAAAAGGCAUGCGUCUGUAGGCAAAUGUGCCAUAGGGACAAGUGAAAGUAGUCUUUUCCUGAUCAUUUGGGUGGAUAGGGAUUUGGAAAAAUCCGCUAUACCCAUCAAGGAAACAGUAGUAGGGAUGAUUGGCUAAUCGUUCUAACAUUUGAUCAAUGAAAGGAAGAGGGAAAUGAUCUUUCCUAGAUGCAGCAUUCAGUUUUCUGUAAUCAAUGCACAUCCAAUGCACAUCCUAUGGCCAGUGAUAGUCCUAGUGGGGAUCAAUUCAUCUUUUUCAUUUUUUAUCACUGUAAUUCCUCCUUUCUUAGGUACGCAAUGUACUGGGGAUACCCAAAUACUAUCAGAGAUAGGAUAGAUAACCCCAGCAUUCAACAGUUUAAGAAAUUCUUUUUUCACAACUUCCUUAAGGUUAGGAUUCAAUCUCCUUUGAGGUUCAAUACUAUAGUAUGAUUCAUUUUCCAGAUUAAUCCUAUGCAUGUAGAGACUAGGUGAGAUCCCCUUGAUAUCAUCUUAGGAAUAACCUAUGGUCCUUCUAUAUUUUCUAAGCUCAGUGACUAGCAACUCUAAUUCCUCAUUACUCAAGCUAGCAUUCAAAAUGACAAGAUAAGUAGAGUUGGAUCCAAGGAAUACAUACCUCAGUCCUGAGGGUAGCGGUUUGAGCUCAACCUUGGGAGCUUUUAACUCUGACAAGUAAUCAUCAGCCGCGUUGACAGGGUCAACAGCAGGGUGAGUGAUCGGGCUGCCACUGACUUCCUCCUCUACUGCGCAUACCUCCUUGACAGACUCAUCCAAUUCCUCAAAACGUUCUGAAUUAUCAGUUGCCUUGUAGGUAUCCAGUAACGUUUCGUAGACCUUUGUCUCAGCAUGAAGAAAUCCAUCUGAUCCAUUCUUUGUCAAGGCUGUCUUGAGAUGAUUCUCCUCAGCAAGUUCUUCUAAAAGUUCAUCAGCUAGCUGAUCCAUCUCCUCUAUCCAGAACACCUUGCCAUUGAUUGUUGGUUUCUUCAUGGACUCCUUGAUGUCAAAAGUCAUCUUGAAGUCUUCUCCCAAGCAAAGAUUAAAUUUUCCUUUCUUAACAUCAAUGAUGGCUCCUGCAGUGGCUAGGAAUGGCCUUCCGAGAAUCAAGGGAUCCUUAGGCUCUUCAUCCAUUUCCAAGACAACGAAAUCUGUAGGAACUUCAACAACACCAAUCCUUAUUAGUAAUUCUUCCAAGAGUCCAUGCGGAAGCCUCACUGAUCUGUCAGCUAGAAUGAGAGAUAUGUUGCAUGUCUUGUAUCUUGUAAAUCCUAAACGCUUAGCCACAAACAACGGCAUCAGACUCACUGAAGCUCCAAGAUUACAUAGGCAUCUGCUGAAUGAUAGGGGGCCUAGUGAGCAGGGUAGAGUGAAGGAUCCAGGAUCCAUAAGCUUCAAGGGAGUGAUCUUCUUCUAGAUAAUGGCACUGCAUUUAUGACUCAAUAUCACCAUGCCCCAGAACUCUUUUGUUCUGUCCAUAACCAAAUCUUUGAGGAACUUCUGAUAAGGAGGGAUAAGUGCGAAUGCAUCCAGCAAUGACAUUCUCAACUCAAUCUCUCUCACUUGCUUUUCAACUAACGCCUUAUACUUCUCAGCUUGUUGCUUUUUGAAUCGUCCUGGAAAUGGUAGAGGUGGUUUGUAUGGUGGGGGAACGUAUCUCGCAGGCUUAUCCUUGGAUGCUGCAGGUGUUUCAGCAUGUUUCUCAGCAGGUUGAGGAGCUUCUUCAGGUACGACUUCUGAUUCUUCCAAAGGAACAAUCGGAUCUUCAUUCUGACAUACAUCAUCCCCUUCCAAGUCUUCACUGUCCUCAGUGACUACAACAGGUCCUUUUCUGGGAGGCAAGUGUUUACCGCUCCUCAGCGUGAUGGCAUGAGCAAACUCCUUAGGAUUCUGAACAGCUUUUCCUGGGAGUUGGCCAGGCUUUGGGGAAGAAGUAGAAGCAGUUUUGCCCUCCAUAUACUUGAUCAUGGAAUUCAGAGUCUCAAUCUUCAUGUUCAGAUCAUUAUAUGAGCAGUCCAAUCUCUGAGUCAGCUCAGCAAACUUCUUAGCAUUGUCCAUGGAGCCACUUGCUUGUCCCUGUAGGAGUUGCUGAAGCAUGUUUUUCAUGUCAUGGUCUGGUGCCUAAGGAGGCGGAGCGUGUUGAGGUUGGAAUCCUGGUGGUGGUCCUGCUGGAGGUUGGUAACCUUGCUGAAACUGUUGUUUGGGCACAUAACCUUGGUUUUAGGGCACAAAUGGUUUGUUCUGCCCCUACUGCUGCUGUUGUGGAAGUGGAUAAACCUGAUCCUGGGGAUUUGCAAUAUUGGUGCUCCGAUAGGACAUAUUGGGAUUCUGCUUAUAAAGAUUGUAUCCCUUAUUGUAUCCACCUUGGUUCUGGACAUAACUUAUCUCCUCAGAUUGUUCUCCCUCCCCAUUCAGAAUCUGGAAAGGGUCGUCUUCAGAGACGAAAUGGAUGUUCCUCUGCUGGCUCAUCAAUAGCUUGUCCAACUUAUCAUUCACAGCUUUCAUCUCCUUAUUAUACUUCUCAUCAAGAUAUGUGCUUGCCCUGAUGGUUCUAUCAUAAUCUUCAUUGUAGUUGCCAUCAGAUUGGGAUAGGUUCUCAACAAGCUCCUAACCUUCGUCGACGUCCUUGUUCAGAAAGUUGCCAUUGCUGGCAGUGUCAAGCAACAUCCGGAUCUUUGGGAGAACACCCCGAUAAAGAGUACUGAGGAGAGUCUCCUUGGUGAAGCCAUGGUGGGGGAACUGAAACUGAUAACUUUUGAAGCGUUCCCAGGCUUCACAAAGCGUUUCUCCAUUCUUCUGAGUGAACCCAGAGAUCUCAUUGCGCAGACGUGCAGUUCUAGAGUUGGAGAAAAACUUGGCAAGAAACGACUGCUUGCAUUGAUCCCAGGAAGUGAUAGAUCCUCGAGGAAGAGUUUUCUCCCAUUGAUGAGCUUUGUCACCCAGAGAGAAUGGAAAGAGACGUAGCUUGAAACCGUCCUCACUGACCUCAUUGAUCUUGGUAAGACUGCAGAGACGAUCAAACUCAUCAAGGUGAUCCAGGGGGUCUUCCAUAGCCAGACCAUGAAAUUUAUUCUGCUGGACCAUGGAGAUCAGACCACUCUUGAUCUCAAAGUUGUUGUUCGGCACGGCUGGAGGCACUAUACCCUGACGAUUGGUAUGGUUGCGUGGAGUAUCACCAGCUCCAAUCCGUGUAGGUGCCCGUGGUGGGGGUGGUGGUUGAAUGUUUUCCAUCUCCACUUGGGGUGGUGUAACUCUGUUGCGUUGCUGUCGUGAUGCAUGUACCAAGCGAUCAAUAUGGUCGAAGGGCUGGAACAAGUUCUCUGUGCCUUGCAACCGUGUGUGCAUACAACUCAAAUCAGCUUAUCUCUCUUAUCGGUUGAGUGUGUCAGUCGAGUAGGAGCAGUUGAGCAAGAGUUGUACCUGAAUCAAUAGACAAACAGAAGGAACAGAGUGAGUAAUUGUAGUGAAUGUUAAGUAAAAACUUGAUCUUAGCAAGUCUGAAAUCUCAAAUGUAACAAACAAACACCCAAAUGGCAGCGACGCCAAAAUGAUACUAGGCUUUUUCUAUCAAUUACCCUAGAGUACUAUCAUGUCAUUGCAGUACAAUAGGUAUCAAUCCAAUCAGGUGUGAUGCUAGCAAUCAAGAUAUAUGAUCAGAGAAGAACUAGCUAAUAAAACUCUAGUCCAGAAGGGAAACAAAAUGAAUCUAACAUAAACACUCUAGCAAACUAACAUCCUCCACCUAAUCUAUCCCAUCCUCAAGAACCCUAACACUACUCAGACGCAGAAAUCAUGUUAAACAUCAUGAAACAAGAAUCGUUCAAAACAUGCAUAAUAAUAAGGAUGAUAGGAAGAGUAACAACAAUGAUUUCAGAACUAGUUGCAAAAUCUCAAUAACUCAAAAGAAAUAUGAAUUACAAUUCUCAGGAUCGUUUGGUGGCUACAACAAAAACCUAAUAAAAAUAAAACUCGAUCCCUUGGGCAAUCCAAAUGAAGCCUAUUUAUAACAAUGUUUGGGAAAACCUUAAAACAUAAAACGACAACGUAAAAGCGGUUCAAAGGUUGUUUUGACUAAGUUGGUCGAGUGAGCAUCUCGAGUGACCAUCUUCUCUGCUUUGCUCGAUCGUGUCACUCGAGUGAGUGUGUCGAGUGACCUGUAAAACAAUCAGCUACUUCUUUGCUUUGCUCGAUCAUGUGACUCGAGUGAGUGCAUCGAGUGACAGGUAGUUCUGCUUCGCUUCCCUUCUACUCGAUCUGCCACUCGAUCGUAUACGUCUGCUGCUCACUCGAACGUCAAUGUAACUGCAACGCAUCCUUGCUCCUCACUCGAUCGUCCCACUCGAUCGUUUGCAUGUCGAGUAACGCUUAUUCCUCUGCUUUGCUCUGCAUGUCUCCUAAGUACCUGAAACACUCCAAAUAUGCACAAUGUAUGCAAGAUAUGCAUGAUAUGCAUACAAUCUACCUAAGUAUGUAAAACAUGCAGAAAGGGAUCAAUAUGAUGCGAAUCAACAAGUGAAUGAUGCUGAAAAGAUGAUGAAUGCAUGCUAGAAAAGCGAUGAAAUACUGACUUAUCAACUCCCCCAAACUUAGUCUUUGCUUGCCCUCAAGCAAAACAAAAAGAAACAAAGUGGAAGAGAGGUUUGAAAAUGGGGUCUCAGAACCUGUAACUUGCAAGAUAGAGCAGUUAAAAUCAAUGUCCUGGUUGCUAAGUCUUUGAUGCAUGCUGAGAGAACUUUACUUAACGACUUUAGACAAACUCAUCAAAUCCGAAACUGAUUUUAUCCCUUGAUCUACACAUGCAUUCAAAUCAUUCAUUCCUUUUAACAUUCAUUAUUCAAGUAUAUGAAUCUGGUUGUGCAAGGCUUAACAAACUCACUUGGCUAGGCAGAAAAAGGUUUUGAGAAUCAUGAGGGUUUAAACAAUUUCAGGACAAGGAUCUCUCAAUAAAUGGAUUGAGCUUUAGGGAGAAUGCUAAAGGUAAGGACCAACAAAUGCAUACAGGAAUAAAACCUUGACUACCCAAUGGUUCCCAAGUGCUUACUCCUAAUCAUCUAAACCCGGAUGAUCCCUAUGUCUACCCUUCAACAUCAAUCCCAUUUUUUUUUCUUUUUGCUUUUUGCCUUAGGAGAAGUUUCUUAUCAAUAAUAGUGGAUAGGGGAUUUCUUCUUAACUAUGGUUCUGUUUUCUUCUUACGUUAUAAGACAUCAAAACUUUUUCUCUUUCUUAACAUCCCAGAACCAUUCUCUGUAUAUCAUGCUAACCCCACGAAAAUCAAUCACUAGAUUAUAAACUUCUAGAAAACAUUCUCCUCCUAAGGAUACAACUUUUUCUGUUUCUCUUCUUUCUUUCCACAAUCAUUCCAAUCCCAAACCCAAGUAAGACCCCCGACCUAGUCCUAUCUGAUUUGAAAGUGAAAAUCAGAACUACUCAAGAUUUUAAUCAUGUCGGCUCAUACCUAACACGUUCUCCCCAAGCAUAAUCCGGUAAAAGACCUACCGCUCAAAAAUUAUCAAUUGGCUUGAAAGAAAAGGAUAGGCUGUGAGUGUGGCGAACUGAUCAAAAGAAAGAUCAGCUACUUGGAUCAACAAGAGUGGUGAAAGGAGGAAGAUGAUCCAAAUAUGUAUAUGGUGACCAUGAGCAUGCAAGCAAAACACAACCAGAUAUUUGCAAGUCAAGAUUAAGUUCUUAUAGGAUAAGGAAUGAGAUCAUAUCACAACAUGUUUCAACCAAGUUCAAGAAUGCUCUUCAUGAAUUCCAAGUUUGUUUCAGACUUACUUCAAGUUCAAUCAUCAUGCAUCAAAAAGCUAACAACCAGGGCAUUGAUCUCAACUGGUGAAUCAUAGCAAAUCAACAAGGUGUAACUCAUCAUCGCCCCCUAUGCUAAUGCAACAGUCCUACAUGAAACAAUCUAGACUCAAUCCUAAUAUGCAAAUGCAAGCUACAUGAUCACUCUGUUUUUAAAGAUUUUUCUGAAAAUUUUUCAAAUUUUUAGGGGUUUUCAAUGCACAUAUAUGAAUGCAAAUUAUAUGCUAAAAAUUCAAAAUAAAAAAAAAGAACAGAUGAGUUAGCUCGCAAGACGGUUGAGUGUGUCGGUCGAGUAGGAGCAGAUGAGCAAGAGUAGUACCUGAAUCAAUAGACAAGCAGAAAUAACAGAGUGAGUAACUGUAGUGAAUGUUGAAUAAAAACUUGAUCUUAGCAAGUCUGAAAUCUCAAAUGUAACAAACAAACACCCAAAUGGCAGCGGCGCCAAAUUGAUACUAGGAUUUUUCUAUCAAUUACCCUAGAGUACUAUCAUGUCAUUGCAGUACAAUAGGUAUCAAUCCAAUCAGGUGUGAUGCUAGCAAUCAAGAUAUAUCAGAAAUGAUUAAGUCAAGCAAGCAUAAAUGAUUUUGGGUUUUCAGUGAUCCUAAACGAACAUGUUAAACAUGCGAUAAAUGUAAAGCUGUGAAACAUAGACUACCAUGCAUAAAUUAAAACGUAACGAUUAUUGAUACUAGCAAGAAAACAAAGCAGACCAAGUAAAUAACAAGAGAAUUAAACAGAAAGCACAAAUGGAUAGAAGAUCCCGAGGAUGAGGUUAUUGAUGUAGGUGGAGUAUGCUAAUCUACUUCGAGUGUUUAUCAAACUGCAAACAUUCUAAUCCCUAGACAAUGAACUUCUAAUUCUAGUCAAUCCAAUCUCUUGGCAGAAACUAUCAAGUUUACAACACUUCCUAAUCUCAAUUCUCAUUGAUGAAACAUGCAGUAAACAGGCAUAAAGAAACAGCUCAUUAAUGUCAAUAAACAUCUUAGACAACCAAUCUCUUGGGCUAAGCAUGUAAAUCUCUGGCACUAGUUGGUUCAGACAUUUCAUCAUAUACCUUUCGGGUAUGAAAUGUCUAUGACCUAGUUCCAAUUGAUCAGAGAAGAACUAGCUAAUAAAACUCUAGUCCAGAAGGGAAACAAAACGAAUCUAACAUAAACACUCUAGCAAACUAACAUCCUCCACCUAAUCUAUCCCAUCCUCAAGAACCCUAACACUACUCAGACGCAAAAAUCAUGUUAAACAUCAUCAAACAAGAAUCGUUCAAAACAUGCAUAAUAAUAAGGAUGAUAGGAAGAGUAACAACAAUGAUUUCAGAACUAGUUGCAAAAUCUCAAAUACUCAAAAGAAAUAUGAAUUACAAUUUUCUGGAUUGUUUCGUGGCUAACAACAAAAACCUAAUAUAAAACUCGAUCUCCUGGGCAAUCCAAAUGAAGCCUAUUUAUAACAAUGUUUGNNNNNNNNNNNNNNNNNNNNNNNNNNNNNNNNNNNNNNNNNNNNNNNNNNNNNNNNNNNNNNNNNNNNNNNNNNNNNNNNNNNNNNNNNNNNNNNNNNNNCAUCCUUGCUCCUCACUCGAUCGUCAAUGUAACUGCAACGCAUCCUUGCUCCUCACUCGAUCGUCCCACUCGAUCGUCUGCAUGUCGAGUAACGCUUGUUCCUCUGUUUCGCUCUGCAUGUCUCCUAAGUACCUGAAACACUCCAAAUAUGCACAAUGUAUGCAAGAUAUGCAUGAUAUGCAUAAAACCUACCUAAGUAUNNNNNNNNNNNNNNNNNNNNNNNNNNNNNNNNNNNNNNNNNNNNNNNNNNNNNNNNNNNNNNNNNNNNNNNNNNNNNNNNNNNNNNNNNNNNNNNNNNNNNNNNNNNNNNNNNNNNNNNNNNNNNNNNNNNNNNNNNNNNNNNNNNNNNNNNNNNNNNUGGAAGAGAGGUUUGAAAAUGGGGUCUCAGAACCUGUAACUUGCAAGAUAGAGCAGUUAAAAUCAAUGGCCUGGUUGCUGAGUCUUUGAUGCAUGCUGAGAGAACUUUACUUAACGACUUUAGACAAACUCAUCAAAUCCGAAACUGAUUCUAUCCCUUGAUCUACACAUGCAUUCAAAUCAUUCAUUCCUUUUAACAUUCAUUAUUCAAGUAUAUGAAUCUGGUUGUGCAAGUCUUAACAAACUCACUUGGCUAGGCAGAAAAAGGNNNNNNNNNNNNNNNNNNNNNNNNNNNNNNNNNNNNNNNNNNNNNNNNNNNNNNNNNNNNNNNNNNNNNNNNNNNNNNNNNNNNNNNNNNNNNNNNNNNNNNNNNNNNNNNNNNNNNNNNNNNNNNNNNNNNNNNNNNNNNNNNNNNNNNNNNNNNNNNNNNNNNNNNNNNNNNNNNNNNNNNCCUUCAACAUCAGUCCCAUUUUUGUCUUUUUGCUUUUUGCCUUAGGAGAAGUUUCUUAUCAAUACUAGUGGAUAGGGGAUUUCUUCUUAACUAUGGUUCUGUUUUCUUCUUACGUUAUAAGAUAUCAAAACUUUUUCUCUUUCUUAACAUCCCAGAACCAUUCUCUGUAUAUCAUGCUAACCCCACGAAAAUCAAUCACUAGAUUAUAAACUUAUAGAAAACAUUCUCCUCCUAAGGAUACAACUUUUUCUGUUUCUCUUCUUUCUUUCCACAAUCAUUCCAAUCCCAAACCCAAGUAAGAACCCCGACCUAGUCCUAUCUGAUUUGAAAGUGAAAAUCAGAACUACUCAAGAUUUUAAUCCUGUCGGCUCAUACCUAACACGUUCUCCCCAAGCAUAAUCCGGUAAAAGACCUACCACUCAAAAAUUAUCAAUUGGCUUGAAAGAAAAGGAUAGGCUGCGGGUGNNNN